rnacentral:rRNA from 1 species
UACAGAGGGGGCAAGCGUUGUUCGGAAUUACUGGGCGUAAAGGGCGCGUAGGCGGCCUGCUAAGUCGAACGGGAAAUCCCCGGGCUCAACCCGGGAACUGCGUCCGAUACUGGCAGGCUUGAAUUCGGGAGAGGGAUGCGGAAUUCCAGGUGUAGCGGUGAAAUGCGUAGAUAUCUGGAGGAACACCGGUGGCGAAGGCGGCAUCCUGGACCGAAAUUGACGCUGAGGCGCGAAAGCUAGGGGAGCAAACGGG